rnacentral:rRNA from 1 species
UACGAAAGGGGCUAGCGUUGUUCGGAAUUACUGGGCGUAAAACGCACGUAGGCGGCCUUGUAAGAUGGGGGUGAAAUCACCGGGCUCAACCCGGGAACUGCCUUCAUGACUGCAAAGCUAGAGGAUGCGAGAGGUUAGCGGAAUUCCGAGUGUAGAGGUGAAAUUCGUAGAUAUUCGGAAGAACACCAGUGGCGAAGGCGGCUAACUGGCGCAUUUCUGACGCUGAGGUGCGAAGGCGUGGGGAGCAAACAGG